GCACAAGCGGUGGAUGAUGUGGUUAAUCGAUGCAACGUCGAAAACCUUACCCACCUUUGACAUGUAUGGAAGUUUCCAGAGAUGGGUUCGUGCUCGAAAGAGAGCCAUAACACAGGUGCUGCAUGGCUGUCGUCAGCUCGUGUCGUGAGAUGUUGGGUUAAGUCCCGCAACGAGCGCAACCCUUGUCAUUAGUUGCUACAUUCAGUUGGGCACUCUAAUGAGACUGCCGGUGACAAACCGGAGGAAGGUGGGGAUGACGUCAAGUCCUCAUGGCCCUUAUAGGUGGGGCUACACACGUCAUACAAUGGCCGGUACAAAGGGUCGCAAACCCGCGAGGGGGAGCCAAUCCAUCAAAGCCGGUCGUAGUCCGGAUCGCAGUCUGCAACUCGACUGCGUGAAGUCGGAAUCGCUAGUAAUCGUGGAUCAGCAUGUCACGGUGAAUACGUUCCCGGGUCUU
rnacentral:rRNA from 1 species